GUAUAUGUCCACUCCAAGCUAAUGAUCGGUAUGUCAAUUUCUGUGUUAAGCAAAUAACUGAAUAUACAUUUUCUAUCAGCAUAAAUAUUUAGUUUCAUUAAUUAUUUAAAAGUAUCUUCCUUUCAUAUUAUUUCUCAGUGGAUGAUGAAUACCUUCUAAUCGGAUCAGCCAACAUAAACCAACGAUCCAUGGACGGGCAACGGGACACUGAAAUUGCAAUAGGAUGUUACCAGCUCAAAACUGAUAAUGAUCAUGAAAUCAAAACCAUAAGCUCUGGUGAUGUACAUGCUUACCGUAUGACACUCUGGUAUGAGCAUGCUGGACUAAUUGAAGCAUCAUUUUACAUGCCUCAAAGCCUGGAAUGUGUGCAUAGAAUACGAUCCAUUGGACAAAAAAUGUGGAAAAUUUACAGUGGAGAAGAAGUUGUUGACAUGGAAGGGG
rnacentral:lncRNA from 1 species